AUUAACCAGCGAAAAAAAUUGUCUUGGAACGAGGCCUCCAGGUGCCCUCGAGCUCGCACUCGCAUGAGAUCCCUUCCAGGCCACCACGCCACACCACCAGAUCCCAUCGCCGCCACCUCGCACUCGCAUCCCAUCGCCGCCGCCCGUGCGUUCUCGAUCGGAGAGGACGCUCCCUUCGCCGCCGCUGAGAUCCGAGAAGAGUCGCCCUUCGCCGGCGCCAAGAUCCUGUGCCUCUCUAAAGACCCCUCUCUCUCGCGACACCGCCUCCCUUACAAGGACGCCAUGCCAUGGGUCUCCAUCGGUGCCACGACUGCCGCGGCCUCCCCACCUGCCGACGCUCUAGAUCCGGCCGUAGUUGAUUCCCUGUACAUCAUCUCAAGGAGGAGGGGCGUGAGGCGGUUGCCGCCGCCGGUGGCUGCACUUGAAGGUCUCCGCCGCUUGCUCCAACCAGAUCCAGCCAGACCGACCUGUGGUGGUCCACGUGCAUCUGGACGGACGCAACGGCUUUGCCUCCCCUGUCCCAUGUCUUCGUCCACCAGACCAUCCCAUUGCGGUAAUAAAUCUCUAGCCAUGCCCUUUUCCUUGAGAUGAACUACAAAAUUUCUGUUCUGUUAUAUCUUGGUGAAUGUCUCGUCAAUUGCCAUACAAAUACAUGUGUGCUUCUCCUGUCGUGCAUUUGAUGGGUAAGCUGCUGCUACCCGGGCUCACAUGACCCCGUGGAGGAAGGAGCUGCGCAAGGAAUCACUGCCAAAAGACUCAAGAUGAGUUUGGAGUGUCCUGGAUUCCAGUCCAUGUUCCGCAAGGACGAAGCAACGUGAGCUAGCCGAGGGUUCAGAUUGACGUUCGCUUUGAUUCUCGUUGAUUCAUUGUUUUGACCGACCCAAGCAGCGCCGGCGCUCACGGAGGAGAACCUGAUAUUUCUAGAGGCCUGACGCGCGGUCGAUCACACUUACUACGACAAGUCCUCCAACGGGUGGAGCUGGUUCAGGUACCACAAGCACCCUCCAGGAAAAGCAGGUUCCAGCUGUGCAAAGUCUGCCUACUACUGCUAUCCAUACUGCGCUAUAGCAAAAUAGCUUUGGAUCAGGACUAACCUCUAGCCAGGAAAGAACCUGAAUCCCAAGUCGACGGCCGCUGCGGUGCCCACGUCCGCGUCAUUAGUGCUGCUAAGGGGCGCUUCACCCUGUUCGGCAUUAUCUUCUAUUCUUCCUACGGCUGCAAGAACCCUCACCUUGGCUAUGGCAGAUGCGACAGAUAAAGCAGGAGAUGGAUGAAAUGCUGCUGAGACGUUACAAGAUAUUCCAGCAGAGGCAUCCUUACCAUCCGCAUUACAAGGAUAUGAGAACAUUGGGGUCCUGAAGGCAGUGACCUGUUUACCAUACACAUAUUUACUUCCUUUCUAGGGUGGAACAAUGGAAGGCACAAUUCCAAAUUUCCAAGUACAGCUCUUCAAGAACAGGAUCUCUGAAGGAACAACAAUUUACAAGCUUGGCGCUUACCAGGUUCAGUAUGCUAGGGAAAGAUACAAAACUGUAGAUCGUCCAUGGAGAGUAGUGUUUGCCCAAAAAACUACCGUCGAACCAAUUGUGCCUCAGCCACCAAACUUUCCCAAGUAUGGAUAUACCACCUACAAUGUACACAGUACCAAAGCUGCAUUAAACAAAUCGUUUUGUUGUCAGUUACCAGCAUCACAAGAAUAUUUGCGCCGAGCGGCGGAUCGAUUGACCAGAUAUGAGAAAAUCACAUCACAAAUAAUGCCCGCCGUUGUGAUGUUUUGGGGAAAAUUAGCAGAUGCCCUUGAUGCAGACAAGCUACAACGGUGGUCUGCUCAAGAACCCAUUAUAGUUCUAUUUGUUGGCAUGCCAGUACAUGAAUUUAAUGAAACUUGACCUUCAAGUCCUGUCUGGCAACUCGAUGGUACAUGAAUCCAACUAUUUCUGAAGCGGCAGCUAUUCUAGGAAGAUCUACUGCAAGAUCCCAUCAAAUUGAGAUAAGCACCGGCUCACAGGGUCAUCGCUAGGCAACAAAUACAACAAACACAUAAUUAUCAGCCGUUGACCCUGGUGGAAUCAUGGACCAGUACUAUAAACUGGAAAUAAAGAGAACUGAAGUGUCCCCUUCCACGGCGUUGGGGGGCCUUUCUCUGCCAGGCGCGGUGGCUCCUUGGUAGGAUGAUGCAGCUGGCUCGGCGGAGGCUAGGAGGCUCGUCGGCCGACAUUUCGUUGAUGCAUGGGUGCCAUAUUGCGAUGGAACGGCAGUAUAAUAUACAAAACUUUGACGAGGCUCACCUGCUUCAAAAUUUCACAAUAAGUCCAAUCAAGACAACUUGCAACUUUGGUGUUGUCACAUUGGAGUCCGUGCUGAGCAGCAAUGGGAGACUGUCGUUGAUGCCCGACCCAUGAUGCCGACGAAGGAACGAGAGUCGAUGAGGAGUAGACGCCAUGGGUUUGUGAACUGGCCAAGCCACCGUUGUCCGUUUGGUAAUGUGACUUGCCCUGAUUUUGACGUCGUCUACCAACAUCCGACGAAGGGAACCCGUCCCGGUUUCCAUCUUGAUGUUAUAUUAUCAACCUUCAGCAAGCAGUGACAACGAACUCCAUCCCCCCACCACACCACACCCAUGUUUCAUUUGAUGUGCUUUAAGCCAUGUUUCAGCUUGUCUCGACCCAGCAUGUAUUUUUUGUUUCAGUUAUUGAGCUCUGCACUACAAAACUGAGAAAGACCCAUAACUUUUUACAGGUCAGCCAUGUUUACUAAAAUAUAUAAUUUCUAAAACAUUUCCAGCAAUAUGUGAGUUGUUUGCUUGCUCAACAUUACUCUAGGAUCGUUUCUACAUACUACAAAUAGAGGGAAGUUGGCUUGUGCCUUAGUAGAGACAGAUGAACCAAUAAAAUGAUUGGAAAGGCUCUUUCCAAGCAUAAGAGGAGCUUUUGAAGGAACUGAAGAACCGGAACCUCCCCUCCUCCCUCCCGCGACGCUCCCGCAGGCGUCCGGGGGGCAACCCUAGCACCGCCGCCGGUCCCCCCUCCUCUCCCUACCCCCUCGCGGCCGCCCGGGGGCGCGAGCGGGCGAAGCCCGCUCGUCGCUGGCGGCGGCGGGGCCUUCUUGUCUCCGCGCGUGGGGGUUUCUGUGAGGGCCGGACGCCUCUGGCCGGAUGCGGCGCUUGGCGCUGGCCGUGGCAGCUCAGCAGCGCGCCGACGUGGGCUGUCGGCGGCGCAUGCCAGCGAUGGGAUGGGCAGUGCGGUGGUGGUGCAGGCUGGAGGCUGGUGGUGGCGGCGGCGCGCCCAGAUCCGCCUCUGGCGCCGCGAGUUGCGGGCGACCUGGAUCACGGUCGGCCUUCCCUACCAUGGCUCGUGGGGGGGCAGCGGGUGGAUGCGUGUGCCGUUGCCCGUCCGAGCCCUUGUGGCAGGUCGAUGUUGCACGGCGCUGGAGACUCCCCUGGUGGCCAUCCAUGGAUGCGGCGGCGGGCUCUGCUUCCUCAUUAGAUUAAAUUUUGGUAUUACAUUUUUUAGCACUUCAUGUGAAUGUUCUAUAGUCUCUAUUGUGCAGGCGGGUCUACUCUCCCUCUUGAGGCGAGUGUGGAUGUAAUGGACAUUGAUUGUGGUUGUUCGGACAAAAAUAUUGCGUGGAAACAUUAUAUACUGAUGGAUUUAAUUAGCAUGGGCUGGACGGGAAGGUGAUGCCUGCGAUGGCGACCAAGACGACGGGCAGCGCAGGGGCAAUUGUGGCCAUCGUGGUGUUUUCAAGGGAGAGCGAGGCAACUGCAAUCACGCAACUGAAGAAGUCGAAACCCGGGGCGAAGUUGGCCAACAUGAAAGCUGACAAACCUAAAUGCCGGUGAUAGGUUGUUCGCCGCUGUCGUGCCGUCUUUGAACUUGGUGGAGACGCAGAAGCAGUGGCGGAGCUAGGAUCAAGCCAUGACCCGGGCAAGCCCCAGGCCAAUCACUUGGUACAGUGCUAAACAGUGUAAAAUCCACUACAGUAAACGAAGGAGCCAAGCCUCAGGACCCAGGCCGCCGCCCGGGCAGCCUGGGGCUUGUCUCCGCCACUAUGCAGAAGGAGAACGGUGGCGCCGUGAAGACCUUGACGACUGUUGCCAUGACCACAACCAUGAUGAUUGUGUUGGUAAUAAAGAUACUAAUUAUAUACAAAUCCCCCAGCUUCGAAAACAUUAGAUUAUCCAACUUAUUAUUCAAAUUCUUGAUUCAAGAUAAAUGGAAAUUUCCUAUAUACAAUGAGCUUAUUAUUUUUUUUAGAAAAGGAGGAUGACCCCCGGCAUCUGCAUCUGGGAGAUGCAUACGGCCACUUUAUUGAUUAUUUUCGAGGACCUUAUAAAGUAUUACAACAAUAUACCUGAA